UAUCAAGAAUAACAAAUCAGAUUUUUUUUCUCCUGAUUUUCAGCUUUUUUCUCCUGAAAAAGUUUAAAUCCAACUAAACAUGCUAAAAAUCAAGAGAAAAAAAAUCUGAUUUAUCAUUCUUGUAUU
rnacentral:pre_miRNA from 1 species